GCUCUUUUCGAUACGCCUCUGAUCUUCAGGAUCCCUGUCUGAACACAGAAAUUGAGUGUUCGCAAGGUUUCCUCAAGAUCAGGGCUUCGAGUCAGCU
rnacentral:pre_miRNA from 1 species